rnacentral:rRNA from 1 species
UACGUAGGGUGCGAGCGUUGUCCGGAAUUAUUGGGCGUAAAGAGCUUGUAGGCGGUUUGUCGCGUCUGCUGUGAAAUCUCAAGGCUCAAUCUUGAGCUUGCAGUGGGUACGGGCAGACUAGAGUGUGGUAGGGGAGACUGGAAUUCCUGGUGUAGCGGUGAAAUGCGCAGAUAUCAGGAGGAACACCGAUGGCGAAGGCAGGUCUCUGGGCCACUACUGACGCUGAGAAGCGAAAGCAUGGGGAGCGAACAGG